UUCAAAUGAAUGCAGAGAUGAGUAAGUUAAUGAUUCAUUUUUAGAGAGUCGUCACUUGGUGGAAGACGAUAAUGAUGAAUAACUGAAGAUGGUCUUAAAUGCAGUUCUUACUGGUGAGCUAAAGUUAGCCAGUAACGGGUACUCCCGUUAUAGGGUUAGGGUAUACGCAUCAGUAAGUACUUGAAUAAAAGGCCUACGAGUCCGUGUACCCAUUGAGGAAUAACUUGAGAAAGUUGUUUGAACAAAGGUGGUAACACGGAAUAGCACUUCCGUCCUUGUC
rnacentral:ncRNA from 1 species